GAAUCAUCUAUAGACAAAUCAACUGCCACUUUUGUGCUUCGUGGUUUCACUCUAACCUGAGUGUCAGUAUCUACGAAGGGAGUGAAGAAAACAUCAAUUUCGCUAAUAACCAUAUCUUCUUCUUCCUCUUGUCCGUCUUCAUCCAGGAGAUUGGCAUUAAUUUCUAUUUUCACGGCUCCUUUGUUCGAGUUUGAAGGUUCAAUCUUCGGCAUAGCGUUCAUUCUAGAUUUAAUUUCUUCCUCGUCUUCAUUUCUCUUAGAGAACUGGGCGUUUUGAGGUUCUGGUUUCGCUGCUAAUAUUGAUUCCUGAGGUUUUAAGACUCUGGCUUGGAGGAUGGUGGUUCUGGUUUCGGUUUCGCUUU
rnacentral:misc_RNA from 1 species